rnacentral:rRNA from 1 species
UACAGAGGGUGCAAGCGUUAAUCGGAAUUACUGGGCGUAAAGCGUGUGUAGGUGGUGAGGUAAGUUAGAUGUGAAAUCCCCGGGCUCAACUUGGGAGUUGCGUUUAAAACUACCUUGCUAGAGUGUUGUAGGGGAUAGUGGAAUUUCCAGUGUAGCGGUGAAAUGCGUAGAGAUUGGGAGGAACACCAGUGGCGAAGGCGACUUUCUGGACUGUAACUGACGCUGAGGCUCGAAAGCGUGGGGAGCAAAC